AGAGGAAGUAAAAGUCGUAACAAGGUCUCCGUUGGUGAACCAGCGGAGGGAUCAUUACCGAGUUUACAACUCCCAAACCCCUGUGAACAUACCUUAAUGUUGCCUCGGCGGAUCAGCCCGCUCCCCGUAAAACGGGACGGCCCGCCAGAGGACCCAAACUCUAAUGUUUCUUAUUGUAACUUCUGAGUAAAACAAACAAAUAAAUCAAAACUUUCAACAACGGAUCUCUUGGUUCUGGCAUCGAUGAAGAACGCAGCAAAAUGCGAUAAGUAAUGUGAAUUGCAGAAUUCAGUGAAUCAUCGAAUCUUUGAACGCACAUUGCGCCCGCUGGUAUUCCGGCGGGCAUGCCUGUUCGAGCGUCAUUUCAACCCUCAAGCCCCCGGGUUUGGUGUUGGGGAUCGGCUCUGCCUCACGGCGGUGCCGCCCCCGAAAUACAUUGGCGGUCUCGCUGCAGCCUCCAUUGCGUAGUAGCUAACACCUCGCAACUGGAACGCGGCGCGGCCAUGCCGUAAAACCCCAA
rnacentral:rRNA from 1 species